rnacentral:rRNA from 1 species
UACGUAGGUCCCGAGCGUUGUCCGGAUUUAUUGGGCGUAAAGCGAGCGCAGGUAGUUUAUUAAGUCUGGUGUAAAAGGCAGUGGCUCAACCAUUGUAUGCAUUGGAAACUGGUAGACUUGAGUGCAGGAGAGGAGAGUGGAAUUCCAUGUGUAGCGGUGAAAUGCGUAGAUAUAUGGAGGAACACCGGUGGCGAAAGCGGCUCUCUGGCCUGUAACUGACACUGAGGCUCGAAAGCGUGGGGAGCAAACAGG